rnacentral:rRNA from 1 species
AUUGAACGCUGGCGGCAUGCCUAACACAUGCAAGUCGAGCGGCUGAAGGGGGCUUGCUCCUUGAUUCAGCGUCGGACGGGUGAGUAAUGUAUAUGAAACUGUCUGGUGGUGGGGGAGAACGUCCGGAGACGGGCGGUAAUAUCGCAUACGUGCUGCGGGGGUAAGAGGGGGGGCCCUUGAGCCCACGCUCUAAGGGGUGCCUAGGUCGGAUUAGCUAGUUGGUGGGGUAAAGGCCUACCAAGGCGACGAUCCGUAACUGGUCUGAGAGGAUGAUCAGCCACACUGGAACUGAGACACGGUCCAGACUCCUACGGGAGGCAGCAGUGGGGAAUAUUGGACAAUGGGCGAAAGCCUGAUCCAGCCAUGCCGCGUGUGUGAAGAAGGUCUUCGGAUUGUAAAGCACUUUAGUUUGGGAAGAAGGGCAGUAAGUUAAUACCGUGCUGUUUUGACGGUACCAAAAGAAUAAGCACCGGCUAACUACGUG